rnacentral:rRNA from 1 species
GACGAACGCUGGCGGCGCGCUUAACACAUGCAAGUCGAACGGAAAGGCCUGCUUUCCCUUGUGGGUUGCGGGUACUCGAGUGGCGAACGGGUGAGUAACACGUGAGUGAUCUGCCCCCAACUUGGGUAUAAGCCUGGGAAACUGGGUCUAAUUCCUGAUAGGACUGCAGGGUGGUGCCUGUGGUGGAAAACGAUUUUGUAGUGGGUGGGGAUGAGCUCGCGGCCUAUCAGCGUGUUGGUGGGGUAAUGGCCUACCAAGGCGGAGACGGGUAGCCGGCCUGAGAGGGUGGACGGCAACAUUGGACCUGAGAUACGGCCCAGACUCCGACGGGAGGCAGCAGUGGGGAAUAUUGCACAAUGGGCGGAAGCCUGAUGCAGCGACGCCGCGUGGGGGAUGACGGCCUUCGGGUUGUAAACUCCUUUCGACCGCGAGGAAGCCACCUGGUUGGAAGGGUGGUGACGGUAGUGGUAGAAGAAGCACCGGCUAACUACGUG